AGCCCUUAAGCAAAAGCGGAAGUGUAGGACAGUGAAGCAUCUUGCCUCGUCUCAGUGACGACUGCAGCCUGAACAUUCAAAGCAAACAACUGCGGGAAAGCAGCGAAUGGCUGAAUGUGAUUUCCUGUGUGUCACUGCACAACCAGACUCAGUGUUUGUCUCAUAGAAAGACCUCAACAUGUCCAAAGUGGACAUUGUACUUUCAGGCUACAGCAGCAGCUGUUAGCCAAGAGCUAGCCAAGUGCUAGCUGGCCUCAGGUUGUCCGGAAGGGCACAUUUGGAGGCAGCCAACCAGGUCAGGACUGCAUGUGCAGGUCUCUGCACCAAUGGACAAGUUUGAAAAGCAAUUUGAAACUCCUGAUGUGCAGACAGCUCUGAUUGAAAAGACAAUUGGCCACACCACAACUAUCAACCUAAAGUUUGGUUCUAAACCUGGAGCUCCGUCCAGCCCGAACAUCUUCACUGACUUCAACUGAGUAGGCCGUGACUGUGGUGAACUCGGUCUCUGGGAACGAGAAGCUGUGCACUCCUUCAGCAGGCAGCGACUGGAUCUGAGACAAGUCCAUCCGAGGGUCGUGCCGGAUGAUGUGCACCCGCGGCUUGUAUUUGUGCAUCGACUGAAGAAUAAUCUGUGUCAAGAGACAAGGAUGACAUAGCUCUGUGAGGUGGGCCAUCAGAAACUUUGAACUGCUGGGUAUUUAUUUAUAUAAUAGUUAUAUGCAUUAUCCAAGUCUGAAGAUCUUUUUUUCCCAGCUUAUUAUUUUUUAUAUGAAAUGUCAGAAAACAGACUUUACUAUCACAUUAGACAAAAAAACUUUUUCUUUUCAUAUUGAGAGGCUGGAAUCGGAGAGUAUUUGCAAUAAAAAUACAUAUUUUAUUUCUCUUUAACAAUAAAUUAAUAAAAACUUUAUGGACAUUAGCCUAUACAGAGAUUUCAGUGAUCUAAUUGUUUCUGCAUUUCAUGCAAGAAUGUAGGAUAUCUAAUUAUUGAUAUUUAAAAAGAAUUUUUUUUUUCAAUUGAUUAAUCUAUAUCCACAGCAGCAUAAUGGUUAAUUUGUGAUUUGUCUCAGCCAGGUAUCCCUUGAAAAAUAGGUUGUUAAUCUCAAUGGCGGUUACAUUUAAUAUGUUAAAUACCGGUUAUAUUAAAAAAAAAAUGUACACAGGGUCAAAUGAUUCAAAUGAAUAUAUAAUAAAACAAUAUACAACAUAUACAAGUGAACAUGCAGUAUGAUCAGGGAAAACAAUAUAAGAGUCUGUAACCUCAGGUAUUGCAUUAAACUAUGCACUGUUCAACAUUAAUUGUCACUAAUUGGUUUGUGUGCAGAAAUAACCAAUUCUAAUUAUUGUUUAUUCAUCUUUAGACAUCAUCAUAUAAAAAUAAAAUCAUAUCCGUAUAAAACUAAAUAUAUUUCCAUCGGCAUAAUUACUAAUAUAAAUAGAGUAAUUAAAAGUGAAUGUCUGAAGUAAAUAAAGACCAUGUAUAUACCCUGUUUCAUAUUCUAAAGAUGCCACAAACUCUUCAGUCAAACAGCCACUGAGCCUCAGUGGCUGUUUAACAUAAAGGAUUAUGAAAAGCAAGUUUGAGCUUUCCAGUCAAACACUUGCAGUUUCUACGGCCCUUCAUUGUAAACCAGAGUAAUGAAUUCUCCACACACAGAAUGAUCUAAAUUGGGAGGUGGUUUUAUAAACAGGGAGAUUAAGCCAGAAGCCUCCUAUAGCCCCCCGAGUCAUUACAUCUGUCUGUAAGUGAACUUUUACAAGACGUAGUGGAGCACAGAAGGAUUUCCACUUCCUUUAUCCCUAAAAUGUGUACUGCAGACUCUUCCUCCCAAAUUAUUCUGCACUAUUAAACCGGAGAAAGUUCAAGAUCUGUGUGUGACGGCAAUAAGCAGCUCUGUGGUUGCUCUGGUCUUCUUUUAUAACAUGACAUUUUCUAACGACAACGCUUUGCUGACAAUUAUUCAGAAAUAUUUGUAAGAUGUUGACUUUUGGAUUGAGGCAUUACUAUUCAGACAGCGUCUCACACCCACAGAAUUAAGCCUGGACAUACACAGACCCCACAUCAAACACCUGUGUGUGUGUGUGUGUGUGUGUGUGUGUGUGUGUGUGUAUGUAAUAAUGCCCCAAAAUGUAACUUUCAAUUUCUGACACACCAGUUUUCUUUGUCUUUUUCUUUGUGUGUGUAGAAAGUAGAGUAGAUCUAUUAAACAGCAUGAGUUUAUGGUUACUGAAAAAAGUACAAGAUUUGGCACUAUAACUUUUUCUUCUCCCCUAUUAAUUUUUAUAGUUGGUGCCCUUUUUUUUUUUUUUUUUACUUGAGCCCCAUGAAAUGUCUUUGCACGCCACUGGUAUUUAUCUACUUUCUAUUCGACAGAGAAAAAGCAGCGCGCGGACAGUUGUGUUACCUACAUGUCCUUUAUCGUCCAUCUCGUUGUUGGUGAGUUUGACGCGGUCGAAACUGACGACCUGACGCAUCCACGUCUCUCCUGCGCACGGCGAGUCCGGGUGCACGUAGAGGCGGGGAGAGAUGCAGGAGUGGUCCGUGUUUCCAGCCACCAUCCACUGCGAGCUGUGGUACACGUACCUGCGGG